CCCCAAACACCAACAGAGCUCACCUCUCAACGCACCCAUCAACAGCCUCAUCUCUACACCAAAUCAGACCCUCUAUCCGUUCUGAUUCUUCAUCAGCUUCCUAACCAAAAAACGAGCCACUAAGAACAAAAAUGACAGAACCUUAAGCCAUGACCCAUCUCCAAAUCCCUCUAUCUCUUCUUCAACCUUGAGAGAACACAAACCCUAGAGAGCUAGAAGCCGCAGCUGCUGACCUCGACCCUUCUGUCAUCUCCUUCGCUCGAGAUGUUGCUUCGCCGGAAUUGAUCACCGGUGAGUGACAACACCAACCAGCGACCCCUACUCAGAAAUACACGAAAACUCUACUCAUCUCCUUCCAAAAAAUAACGCCAAAAGCUCCAAAAGCUCUGCUGGAAAACACAGCCAGGAAAAACAAUCUCAGAAACCAACCCAAUCCAGCACCAAAACUGGAACUGAAACUCAGCUGAAACCGUUCCAAAAUCGCCCCAACGUUCUGUCCGUUUUCGAGUCUUCCGGCAUAGAUUCGAGGUGAUACUGGUUUCGAAGUCUGAGUCGUCGUUCGAGUACAGCUCGUGGUUCUUGUUUAACAUUUGUUGUUGUUUGUUGUAUUUCCGAGUUUCCAUUGCCGGGUUUCUUGUCCCUCGAUUAACUGUAAGUUGUUUUGGAAAGCGUUACUAUCGAGCAAGCUAUUUAAAGAUCAAUUGGCUGACAUUUUUAUCAAAGCUUUGCUUGGUGCUUCCCAUCACUCUCGUUUGGGUAAGCUUGGAAUGUUAUCACCCUCCAGCUUGAGAGGGGUGUUAACACUGGACCUCUUCAAACACAGGAGCCCACACAAGCAGGCCCAAGUAGCUGACAUGGCCCAAUACAUCUUUGUAGUAGUCUAUAAUUAGUUUUACAUAUAUAGUCACCAUAUGUUUACCCUUAGCUGAUUUUUGUUCUAGCCUUGCAAUUCUUUACCUAUUGUAUAUAAAACCUCAGAAGGAUUAAAUGUGUAACUAAUAGAUAUCUUGAUACAUUUAUUUCUCUCAGUUAAUAAAAUGCUCUCUCUUCUUCUC